GUUUAUGCCGCAUGGCAUAAGAGUGAAAGGCGCUUUCGGGUGUCGCUGAUGGAUGGACCCGCGGUGCAUUAGCUAGUUGGUGAGGUAACGGCUCGCCAAGGCCACGAUGCAUAGCCGACCUGAGAGGGUGAUCGGUCACACUGGGACUGAGACACGGCCCAGACUCCUACGGGAGGCAGCAGUAGGGAAUCUUCGGCAAUGGACGAAAGUCUGACCGAGCAACGCCGCGUGAGUGAAGAAGGUUUUCGGAUCGUAAAACUCUGUUGUUAGAGAAGAACAAGGACGUUAGUAACUGAACGUCCCCUGACGG
rnacentral:rRNA from 1 species